CAGCAGCCACGGUAAAACAGAGGGUGCGAGCGUUAAUCGGAUUUACUGGGCGUAAAGCGUGCGUAGGCGGCUUCUUAAGUCGGAUGUGAAAUCCCUGAGCUUAACUUAGGAAUUGCAUUCGAUACUGGGAAGCUAGAGUAUGGGAGAGGAUGGUAGAAUUCCAGGUGUAGCGGUGAAAUGCGUAGAGAUCUGGAGGAAUACCGAUGGCGAAGGCAGCCAUCUGGCCUAAUACUGACGCUGAGGUACGAAAGCAUGGGGAGCAAACAGGAUUAGAGACCCGUGUAGUCCCUGUCUUUAUACC
rnacentral:rRNA from 1 species